CCUACGGGAGGCUGCAGUGGGGAAUAUUGGACAAUGGGGGCAACCCUGAUCCAGCCAUGCCGCGUGUGUGAAGAAGGCCCUCGGGUUGUAAAGCACUUUCAGUGAGGAAGAACGCCUGGUGGUUAAUACCCAUCAGGAAAGACAUCACUCACAGAAGAAGCACCGGCUAACUCCGUGCCAGCAGCCGCGGUAAUACGGAGGGUGCGAGCGUUAAUCGGAAUUACUGGGCGUAAAGCGCGCGUAGGUGGCUUGAUAAGCCGGUUGUGAAAGCCCCGGGCUCAACCUGGGAACGGCAUCCGGAACUGUCAAGCUGGAGUGCAGGAGAGGAAGGUAGAAUUCCCGGUGUAGCGGUGAAAUGCGUAGAGAUCGGGAGGAAUACCAGUGGCGAAGGCGGCCUUCUGGACUGACACUGACACUGAGGUGCGAAAGCGUGGGUAGCAAACAGGAUUAGAUACCCUUGUAGUC
rnacentral:rRNA from 1 species